rnacentral:rRNA from 1 species
UACGUAGGUGGCAAGCGUUUUUCGGAAUUAUUGGGCGUAAAGGGCGCGUAGGCGGUUUGUUACGUCAGCUGUGAAAGCCCGGGGCUCAACCCCGGAGAGUCGGCUGAUACUGGCAAACUUGAGUACGGAAGAGGUAGCUGGAAUUCCCGGUGUAGCGGUUAAAUGCGUAGAUAUCGGGAGGAACACCUGAGGCGAAGGCGGGCUACUGGGCUGAUACUGACGCUGAGGCGCGAAAGCUAGGGGAGCAAACAGG